UGGGGAAUAUUGCACAAUGGGCGAAAGCCUGAUGCAGCAACGCCGCGUGGGGGAUGACGGCCUUCGGGUUGUAAACCUCUUUUGGUAGGGAAGAAGCCGCAAGGUGACGGUACCUGCAGAAAAAGCACCGGCUAACUUCGUGCCAGCAGCCGCGGUAAUACGAAGGGUGCAAGCGUUAAUCGGAAUUACUGGGCGUAAAGGGUGCGUAGGCGGUUUGUUAAGUCUGUCGUGAAAUCCCCGGGCUCAACCUGGGAAUGGCGAUGGAUACUGGCAAGCUAGAGUGUGCCAGAGGAUGGUGGAAUUCCCGGUGUUGCGGUGAAAUGCGUAGAGAUCGGGAGGAACAUCAGUGGCGAAGGCGGCCAUCUGGGACAACACUGACGCUGAAGCACGAAAGCGUGGGGAGCAAACAGGAUUAGAUACCCC
rnacentral:rRNA from 1 species